UUUUUUUUCAACUUCAGAUACUUUAUUUCACUAUAAUAGUUGUUAACAAAUCCCCUUAAUGUUACAACAAUGGCACUAAGGUUCUGCCCUGUAUGGUUAAUUACCAAUAAAACCAGGGGAUUUCAUUGGCAAACUUUUUAUAAUUCUACAUAGUAUUGCGUGUUAGUUACAAUUUACAGAGUAAUAGCUGUCUACAACAUGUGUGCAUUACUUUACUUAACAAUGAAAAAGAAAACGGAACUUUGACCGUUUUUUGUUUAGCUUUUAGUUUCUGAUUAAUCGAAAGUGAGAGAGCAUGGUUUCGAUCAGAUCAAGAGGUCAGUAUAAUCGAAUUAUGAUUGUUUUUUAGAUAGUAUCUUAGCAUUCAAAUACAC
rnacentral:lncRNA from 1 species